CNNNNAGCCNNNNNNNNNNNNNNNAGCGGNNGGCCCUUCGGGGUACACGAGCGGCGAACGGGUGAGUAACACGUGAGCAACCUGCCCCUGACUCCGGGAUAAGCGGUGGAAACGCCGUCUAAUACCGGAUACGACCCUCCGCCUCAUGGUGGUGGGUGGAAAGUUUUUCGGUCGGGGAUGGGCUCGCGGCCUAUCAGCUUGUUGGUGGGGUAACGGCCUACCAAGGCGAUUACGGGUAGCCGGCCUGAGAGGGCGACCGGCCACACUGGGACUGAGACACGGCCCAGACUCCUGCGGGAGGCAGCAGUGGGGAAUAUUGCGCAAUGGGCGAAAGCCUGACGCAGCGACGCCGCGUGGGGGAUGACGGCCUUCGGGUUGUAAACCUCUUUUACCACUCACGCAGGCUCCACGUUUUCGUGGGGUUGACGGUAGGUGGGGAAUAAGGACCGGCUAACUACGUGCCAGCAGCCGCGGUAAUACGUAGGGUCCGAGCGUUGUCCGGAAUUAUUGGGCGUAAAGAGCUCGUAGGCGGCGUGUCGCGUCUGCUG
rnacentral:rRNA from 1 species